rnacentral:rRNA from 1 species
UACGUAGGGGACGAGCGUUGUCCGGAUUCAUUGGGCGUAAAGCGCGCGUAGGCGGCUCGGAAAGUCGGGCGUGAAAUGCCGGGUCUCAACCCCGGGACUGCGUCCGAUACUUCCGAGCUGGAGGUAGGUAGGGGAGAUCGGAAUUCCUGGUGUAGCGGUGAAAUGCGCAGAUAUCAGGAGGAACACCGGUGGCGAAGGCGGAUCUCUGGGCCUUACCUGACGCUGAGGCGCGAAAGCUAGGGGAGCGAACGGG